GCGAGCGGCGGAUGGGUGAGUAACACGUGGGGAACCUGCCCCUAAGUCUGGGAUACCAUUUGGAAACAGGUGCUAAUACCGGAUAAUAAAGCAGAUCGCAUGAUCAGCUUUUGAAAGGCGGCGUAAGCUGUCGCUAAGGGAUGGCCCCGCGGUGCAUUAGCUAGUUGGUAAGGUAACGGCUUACCAAGGCGACGAUGCAUAGCCGAGUUGAGAGACUGAUCGGCCACAUUGGGACUGAGACACGGCCCAAACUCCUACGGGAGGCAGCAGUAGGGAAUCUUCCACAAUGGACGCAAGUCUGAUGGAGCAACGCCGCGUGAGUGAAGAAGGUUUUCGGAUCGUAAAGCUCUGUUGUUGGUGAAGAAGGAUAGAGGUAGUAACUGGCCUUUAUUUGACGGUAAUCAACCAGAAAGUCACGGCUAACUACGUGCCAGCAGCCGCGGUAAUACGUAGGUGGCAAGCGUUGUCCGGAUUUAUUGGGCGUAAAGCGAGCGCAGGCGGAAAAAUAAGUCUAAUGUGAAAGCCCUCGGCUUAACCGAGGAACUGCAUCGGAAACUGUUUUUCUUGAGUGCAGAAGAGGAGAGUGGAACUCCAUGUGUAGCGGUGGAAUGCGUAGAUAUAUGGAAGAACACCAGUGGCGAAGGCGGCUCUCUGGUCUGCAACUGACGCUGAGGCUCGAAAGCAUGGGUAGCGAACAGGAUUAGAUUCCCUGGUAGUCCAUGCCCGUAAACGAUGAGUGCUAAGUGUUGGGAGGUUUCCCCCCUCUCAGUGCUGCA
rnacentral:rRNA from 1 species